rnacentral:rRNA from 1 species
AUUGAACGCUAGCGGGAUGCUUUACACAUGCAAGUCGAACGGCAGCGCGGACUUCGGUCUGGCGGCGAGUGGCGAACGGGUGAGUAAUGUAUCGGAACGUGCCCAGUAGCGGGGGAUAACUACGCGAAAGCGUAGCUAAUACCGCAUACGCCCUACGGGGGAAAGCAGGGGAUCGUAAGACCUUGCACUAUUGGAGCGGCCGAUAUCGGAUUAGCUAGUUGGUGAGGUAACGGCUCACCAAGGCGACGAUCCGUAGCUGGUUUGAGAGGACGACCAGCCACACUGGGACUGAGACACGGCCCAGACUCCUACGGGAGGCAGCAGUGGGGAAUUUUGGACAAUGGGGGCAACCCUGAUCCAGCCAUCCCGCGUGUGCGAUGAAGACCUUCGGGUUGUAAAGCACUUUUGGCAGGAAAGAAACGUCGCGGGCUAAUACCCCGUGGAACUGACGGUACCUGCAGAAUAAGCACCGGCUAACUACGUG